rnacentral:rRNA from 1 species
GUGUCAGCAGCCGCGGUAAGACGAACCGUGCGAACGUUGUUCGGAAUCACUGGGCUUAAAGGGCGCGUAGGCGGGUCACCAAGUCCGGGGUGAAAUCUUUCGGCUUAACCGGAAAACAGCCUUGGAUACUGGUGACCUCGAGGGAGGUAGGGGUCUGUGGAACUUCUGGUGGAGCGGUGAAAUGCGUUGAUAUCAGAAGGAACGCCGGUGGCGAAAGCGACGGACUGGACCUCCACUGACGCUGAGGCGCGAAAGCUAGGGGAGCAAACGGGAUUAGAUACCCUCGUAGUCC